CCUACGGGAGGCAGCAGUGGGGAAUAUUGGGCAAUGGGCGCAAGCCUGACCCAGCAACGCCGCGUGAAGGAAGAAGGCCUUCGGGUUGUAAACUUCUUUUCUCAGGGACGAAGCAAGUGACGGUACUUGAGGAAUAAGCCACGGCUAACUACGUGCCAGCAGCCGCGGUAAUACGUAGGGUGCAAGCGUUAUCCGGAUUUACUGGGUGUAAAGGGCGUGUAGGCGGGGACGCAAGUCAGAUGUGAAAACCAUGGGCUCAACCUGUGGCCUGCAUUUGAUACUGUGUUUCUUGAGUACUGGAGAGGCAGGCGGAAUUCCUGGUGUAGCGGUGAAAUGCGUAGAGAUUAGGAGGAACACCGGUGGCGAAGGCGGUCUGCUGGACAGCAACUGACGCUGAGGCGCGAAAGCGUGGGGAGCAAACAGGAUUAGAUACCCGGGUAGUC
rnacentral:rRNA from 1 species